UUUGUUUUUAAUGACAUUUAAGUUUUUUUGUUUUUGUUUUUUUUUAAAGGAACAUUUUAGGACAAAAACUAAGCUUCUUGUAUUGCCUGAGGCAGAGCCUGGCUUCUUUCUUCCUUGAAGGCCUUCUGCAAAAUACAGAAGCCAGCAUUUGCUGGCCUUGAUGUUCACCACUCCCACCCUGCCCUCUGGAAGUGCAGGGCUACAGGGCAUCCAGGAUGUGGUCGAUCUUGGUGACCAGCUCCUGUCGCUUUCCCGAGAUGAGCUUCUCGUUCUCGACGUACGUGUCUUUCUUGAGCUUGCCAGCCACCAGCCGCUCGGCCUCCACUGCCGACUUCAGUACCAGCUCCUUGACCUGCGCGUCCAGUUUCUGCAUUUCGCUCACCUGGCCGAGGCAAGAGCAGGGCGGGGCUCGAGUGUCCUCCGUGGCCCCACCCCACAGACCCACCACCUCCCGGGGCAGAGGGGCUGCUGUGGAGGGAGAGGCCUGCUUCACCCCCUGAAAGGCCUGUUCCUGCAAGCUCUGGCCCCUGUGAGCCAGGCCCUUCACCACCCCGGCCCCAGAUGUGGAGAGACUGUAAGGACCGAGUGUGGAAAUACCGACACCCCCCAGCACGGUGCCAGACGCAUGCAGGCACUCGGUGAACGUUUGUUCUCUUCCCUCCCAAGGCCAAACUUGGCCAGGGACUUGAUCAGGCAGAGGGCCAACGGCAGCGGGUGGGCGACUCCUGUUAUCACCAACUGGGUGUCAGGCUGAGGCCUUUUAUAGCCACAUUCAUUCAACACUCAACAAAUACUUGUGAGCCAUGAAGCCAGGCACGACUCUACGCUCUGGAAAACAGCAGUGAUGACACGGGAAGCUGACGCACAAUAACCCGAGCAACCUGGAGCCUCGUCCAGUCUGGCCUCCAGGAGAGGAAGCAGCUGCUCUCAACACCAGCGCUGUGGAGGCCAGCAGCGCUUCCUCCAAAUCCAGCUCACAACCAAGAGCCCAGACCUCGUUCCACCCCAAGGGUCGGCACCACGCGACGCGGCCGUAACUGGGCGCGCUCACCCCGCAGGCCAGCGGCGAGCAAGGCCACGUCGGGCGAGGCAGGAACGAGCCGGGUGAGUCGGCGACGGCAGGCACUUACUCUGUCGCACAAGUCAGAGCCCUCCGUCUUCAGCCUGGACUGCAGCAGCGCCACCUCGCUGGCCAAGGCCUUGUGCUCCGUCUCCAGGCUCUUCCUGCCACUGUUGAGGGUGGACACGUCCCGCGACUGUUUGUACCUAUUGACUGUCUCGUCAAAGUGACGGUAGAGACCUAGUCUCUUGUUGACCAGGGUCAAGACCUGCUCUGUGAUGCAGGCCACCUUCAUCCUGGCUUCUGCAGCCGGAUCCUGGGGGAGAGACACCAUGUGGGAUGACAUCCAGCCCUGAGCCCACUCCGACCUCCUCCCAAGGAGCACCCACCACUAGCACACAAACGAGAAAAGCCAUCUUCUUGGAAAGUCAGAGAAUCACACUUUCACCGACACUGACCCUGGAACGGUUCAGCCAUGGGCAGGACAGGGGACGAGAAGAUGAAGCAGACGUUCACGUCCAAGUCCAGCAGGACAGACAGACUCGUAUAAAAGGGAUACUAAUGCCAGGGUGCACCGUGAGAGGGGUAUGAGGUACUGAGGGAGGAGAAAUCCCAUCUCGGGCUGGGGAGGGCUUCCAGGACGUGUUUCCAGGGCCUAAAGGAUGAAGCCCAAGCUCCUUAGCCAGCCACGGCACUUUAGACGUGGCCCCAUGUACUCCCCAGAAUCCCUCACCAGUGGGCUACUGCAGAAGCCCUAACUGGGCCUGCUCAAAGGCUGACUCUGGCCUGCAGAAGGUUGGUUUGGCCCAUAAUUCGUUUUUUUUUCCUCAAUAAAUUAUCAAAGCUUUAAAAUAGAGAUGUAUACACAGGAAAUCGGUUGGAUAAACUAUGACCUAUCCAUACAAGAGAGUCCUCUGCAGCUAUAAAAAAAUAACAAGGAAGAAAGCUCUCUUUGAACCGAUAUGAUUGAUUUUCAGGAUACAUUAAGUGAAAAAAACAAAGUGAAAAAUAGAUAUGCUGUUGCUACCUUUUGUGUACAAAAGAAGAAAAUAAGAAUUAAAUAUCUGCCUAUUUUUGCAAAAUAAACAAAUCAGAGAGGCUACCUAGGGGACUGAUGAAAUUGUUCCCUACAAGGCAGGGUGGGACAGCGUGGAGGAAACCGCACCAUUUUCAGGUUCUCAAUUUAGAACUUUGUUAGUGUUUUACAGUAUCACAACCAACAUUAAAUAUUACCAAUGAUGGAGGAAGAAACCAGAAUAAAAUUCAAGCAUAAAUGAACCUAACUACCUUUCAAAUGAGUAACAUGGGAAAGAAGAACAGAGCAACUACCUUGGGAUCACAGUACUUUGACACUAUAGUCUCAAUCUAAAGACAAAAAGAGGGCUUCCCUAGUGGCACAGUGGUUGAGAAUCCGCCUGCUGCCAAUGCAGGGGACAUGGGUUCGAUCCCCGAUACCGGAAGAUACCACAUGCCAUGGAGCAACUAAGCCCGUGCACCACAACUACUGAGCCCGCAUGCCACAACUACUGAAGCCCGGGAGCCUAGAGCCCGUGCUCCACAACAAGAGAAGCCACCACAAUGAGAAGCCCGCGCACCGCAACAAAGAGUAGCCCCUGCUCGCCGCAACUAGAGAAAGCCCGGGCGCAGCAACAAAGACCCAAUGCAGCCAAAAAUAAAUAAAUAAAAUAAAUAAAUUUAUUAAAAAAAAUAAAGACAAAAAGAACUGCCAAGAAACCUGGCGCUCUACUGGUGGGUUUGGUGUUUGUAGUGGUAUGAGUGCAGCAACUGUGGAACUGUUUUGUUUUGUUUAUAGACUUCAGCAAAUAAACACACUGAUGUUGGGAUCCAGGCAAAGAACCCUGCGGUGUUAGACUGGAAUAACUCAUAUUUCAAAUACCACAUGUAUUUAUCUCCCGGCUCUGUCUGCUGAAAGGGCUGAGGAGCAGAGAUGCUCCAAAAGCAGUGAUCACAACCAGCUCCCAGAUCAUGGUCUCCAGGUACCAUUCUGCACUGAAAGGAACCGGAGCUCCUUGGAGAAAGUACAAGACAUGCCGGAAACGUAUUGCUGCACCCUACAAUAAGGAAGUGCUCAAAAAUACGAUGUAGACAGAAAGACAGUCAAACCUGGGACACUUGAGCAUCAAAAGGAACAGCACAGUGGACAGUAAUCCAGUAAAAUAACACAUGAAUCCAAACGAAUAAUGAACCAACCAACCAACAAGAAAAGCUUUUCCUUACAGUAGAAAACCACCUAGUAAGGUAAAAGGCACCAUAGUUUUUCAGCCACCACAACUAUCAGAUUCAGAUAAGAAUUAGCAAUAAAUACUGUAACUAAUGGGUGAAUAUAUAUGAUAUUUAUAUAGAUUCAAACAGAUUAUAUAUUAAUUGCAAAGAGAAAAAUAGUAACUUUACAGUGAAUAAAACAAGAAAGGCACCAACUCAACCAAGGAGAGUCAAUAUCACCAACCCCGGACCAAAUGACAUCAGGUACCUCCCGACGUGAUGCACUGCAGACACAGCACCACUUUAUAAUGUUCUUGCCAAAAAUGCAUCAUCUGAAUUUUCAAGGAGAAACAUGAGAAACCUAAACUACAUACAAAGGCUGAGGAAUGUCCCAGAGUAAAGCAGACUAAGGAAAUAUGACAACUAAAUGCAACGCAUCAUCCUCAACUGAAUUCUGAAGUAUGAAAAAUAACGGCUACAGAAGUUACCCUUGGGGCGAUCAGGAAAAUUUGAGCCUGGACCGGGUGCUGGUUGUUACUAGAGCAACGUCACGUUCCCGACUUCGAUCGUCGUGCUCUGGCUGUGAGAGACGGGGCCCUCGGGGUCAGGCUGUGCACACGCCUAAGUGUUCAAGGGAGGUGGGCAACUUACUCUCAAACGGCUCAGGAAGAGUACACACGACAGAGAGGCCAAAUGUCAACCACUCUGUCCAGGUGAAGCGUGCACAAGAGUUCGUUUUACUAUUCUUGCAAAAUGUCUAAAUGCAGAAUCAUUUUGAAACUCGGGAUUUUUUAAAUUAAUAAAACAAAAGCAAUUUUUAUAGCUUAGAAAAUGGGGAUAUGUCACAAUAAAACCUAGACUCAGCCCUUCUGCGUGACAAGGCUAGCAGCUGCCCCGGUGGCACCCCUACCCCGGGGCAGCCUCACUGGUCUACGGAACCAGCCAGACCAACGUCCUUGCUCGGUCGUACCAACUGCCACCCACAGGCCCCAGCGAAAGCCUGCCAUGCUGUCCCACAAGCUGCUCCCUCCAGCCAAAGGCCCCGCCCCACCUCUUCUGCCGGUCACUUCCCCGGGAGCCUUUCUGGGCACACGCUCUGCCCACCGCCUCUCCCCACAGAACUGGCCACCAGCAGCAACCUGUCUCCUUCAACAGCGCAUGUCUGUGACCAUAGCAACAAAAGGAGGGGUCUCUAGGGUAACGGUCAGCUGAGGCCACAGGCAGGGCAGAGGCGUAUGUCGCGCGGCCAGGCGCUGGGAAAGCGAGUCACGCGCGCUCUGCAGGCGGCCGAGUUGGGUACCUUUGUGAUGGAGAAGUCCAGCCUGACGUAGACGAUGACGGUGAAGAACAGGAUGUAGAAGGCAGCCACCACCAGCAGGGGCUCCUGCAGCAUGAGCACCUUGUUGAAGGUGUAGUGCACCUGGGGGGAGCCAGGAACACCCGCUGACACACAGGUCCGCCCGGACGCGGAAGCCUGGGGGCCAAGGGGCCUCACCAGGCCUACAGCUGUCCGGGCUGCCCCCGCCAUCUGCCCCACCCCCGCCCCCAGAGGCGGCUGUGCCCAAACCACGCCAGGCAAGGAGGAGAGGAUGGCAAGUCCCCGACCCUGCAGCCACUCUGCAGGGAGGAGGCCUGGGAGGCAGGGCUGUGGAGCGCAUACCACCAUGUCCUGAAUGUGCUGUUCCACCAGGUUUUCCUUGCGGGCCACGAUCACGGGGCGGCCAAACGUGUCCAGGUAGGUGUAGUGCAGCUCGCCAGGGGCUCGGCGGAUCUCAUAGGGACUGUCCACUUGGAUGUUCCUGGAUGCCGAUGGGGGGAAACUGAGCCUCAGACAAACUGCACUGACCAGCUAGGUUCACAGUGAGGAUCCAAGGCCCAAGGGGUCUUCCCGGGUCAUGAGUUCUACUCCACUCUGCUCCCCUCCCAUCACAGGGAACACCCGAGCCCCUGAGACCGCGGACCCACUGUCAGAAAGCCCUGAGUAUGAGAAUGUUUUGUCGCCCAUGCCAAGGGCAGGUGGCCCUGUGAGUGUCCACUGGUUUCUGCCAACUGGACUCCUAGAGACGCCGUGGCUCUGUCCUUUCCCAAGCCUGGUUCUUCAACUUAGGCCAACAUUUGAUGAGAUCCCUUACCCUUCAAGAUUCCUUCCUUUCUGCUUAAACUGGCCAAAGACAGCUCCCUGUUUAUAACCAUGGAACCUGAUAUACCAUCUGAGACCACCCUCCCCCCGCACCUUCUGAACCUGGUGUGACACGCCCAGGACAAGACAAAGCCGUCUCCACUAUCCCUCCCCUUCCUAGGAGCACAGCCCAAGGCCACCCAGCUGCCUCAACUCUCCGUUCUCUCCUUUUGCCAGUCACCUCAUCGGACUCAGGCCAUCACUCUGGCCUGCUGUGAAUCCUGCCCCUGUCACAGAAAGGGCUGUGUUGGGAUAGCUCAUAAGUGAAUCUUGUGCCCUCACUGAGUCAAAUGUCUCAGUUUAAACUCCGCCGGAAGCCCCUCCUCUGCGCCCUAGAACCCAACGUCCCCCUGAGGUGCCAAGUGGGCACCACCAGGAAAGGAGACAGGAAGGGAGGUCAGACUCACUUGGCCCCUUCUGGCAGGAUGAUUUUCACAGUCAGAGAGUCUAUCACUUGUUCAUCAAACACGUGGUCCACAAGCCUCAUCUUCAAUGCAUACUGGUCUCC